AGAUUAAACUGAAGAGUUUGAUCCUGGCUCAGAUUGAACGCUGGCGGCAUGCCUUACACAUGCAAGUCGAACGGCAGCGCGGGGCAACCUGGCGGCGAGUGGCGAACGGGUGAGUAAUAUAU
rnacentral:rRNA from 2 species